UGCAAGUCGAACGAGAAGAGAUGAGAAGCUUGCUUCUUAUCGAUUCGAGUGGCAAACGGGUGAGUAACGCGUAAGCAACCUGCCCUCUAGAUGGGGACAACAGCUGGAAACGGCUGCUAAUACCGAAUACGUUCUUUCUGCCGCAUGGCAGAAGGAAGAAAGGGAGGCUCUUCGGAGCUUUCGCUGGAGGAGGGGCUUGCGUCUGAUUAGCUAGUUGGAGGGGUAACGGCCCACCAAGGCGACGAUCAGUAGCCGGUCUGAGAGGAUGAACGGCCACAUUGGGACUGAGACACGGCCCAGACUCCUACGGGAGGCAGCAGUGGGGAAUCUUCCGCAAUGGACGAAAGUCUGACGGAGCAACGCCGCGUGAACGAUGACGGCCUUCGGGUUGUAAAGUUCUGUUAUACGGGACGAAUGGUACGACGGUCAAUACCCGUCGUAAGUGACGGUACCGUAAGAGAAAGCCACGGCUAACUACGUGCCAGCAGCCGCGGUAAUACGUAGGUGGCAAGCGUUGUCCGGAAUUAUUGGGCGUAAAGGGCGCGCAGGCGGCGUCGUAAGUCGGUCUUAAAAGUGCGGGGCUUAACCCCGUGAGGGGACCGAAACUGCGAUGCUAGAGUAUCGGAGAGGAAAGCGGAAUUCCUAGUGUAGCGGUGAAAUGCGUAGAUAUUAGGAGGAACACCAGUGGCGAAAGCGGCUUUU
rnacentral:rRNA from 1 species